rnacentral:misc_RNA from 1 species
GAUGAAGAACGUAGCGAAAUGCGAUAUGUAAUGUGAAUUGCAGAAUUCAGUGAAUCAUCGAAUCUUUGAACGCACAUUGCGCCCGCCAGUAUUCUGGCGGGCAUGCCUGUUCGAGCGUCAUUUCAACCAUCAAGCCCCCGGCUUGUGUUGGGGACCUGCGGCUGCCGCAGGCCCUGAAAUGCAGUGGCGGGCUCGCUGUCACUCCGAGCGUAGUAGUUACAUCUCGCUCUGGGCGUGCUGCGGGUUCCGGCCGUUAAAAGCCUUAUUUACCCAAGGUUGACCUCGGAUCAGGUAGGAAGACCCGCUGAACUUAAGCAUAUCAAUAAGCGGAGGA